rnacentral:tRNA from 1 species
GAAAGUUUAUAACAACAUGGCUUCUAACCAUUGUUCAAGCUAUUUAUUGCUAACUUUCU